AUUGAACGCUGGCGGCAGGCCUAACACAUGCAAGUCGAGCGGAUGAAGCGUGCUUGCUGCUGGAUUCAGCGGCGGUCGGGUGAGUAAUGCCUAGGAAUCUGCCUGGUAGUGGGGGAUAACGUCUGGAAACGGGUGCUAAUACCGCAUACGUCCUGAGGGCGCAAGUGGGGGAUCUUCGGACCUCACGCUAUCUGAUGAGCCUAGGUCGGUUUAGCUAGUAUGUGGGGUAAUGGCUUACUUAGGCGACGAUGCGUAACUGGUCUGAGGGGAUGUUCAGUCACCCUGGCACUGAGACUCGGGCCAGACUCCUAAGAGAGGCAACAGUGGGGAAUCGUGGACAAUGGGCCAAAGGCUGAUCCAGACGUGUAGCGUGUAGGCAGAUGGUCUUCGGAUUGUUGAGCACUUAAAGUUUGAGGGAAGUAAAGUUAGUUAAGACCUGACUGUUUUGACGUUACCAGGAGAAUAAGCACCGGCUAACUUCGUG
rnacentral:rRNA from 1 species